AACGAACGCUGGCGGCAGGCUUAACACAUGCAAGUCGAACGCCCCGCAAGGGGAGUGGCCGACGGGUGAGUAACACGUGGGAACAUGCCCAAAGGUACGGAAUAUUCUCGGGAAACUGAGAGCAAUACCGUAUGUGCCCGAAAGGGGAAAGAUUUAUCGCCUUUGGAUUGGCCCGCGUCGGAUUAGCUAGUUGGUGGGGUAAAAGCCUACCAAGGCGACGAUCCGUAGCUGGUCUGAGAGGACGACCAGCCACACUGGGACUGAGACACGGCCCAGACUCCUACGGGAGGCAGCAGUGGGGAAUCUUGGACAAUGGGCGCAAGCCUGAUCCAGCCAUGCCGCGUGGAUGAUGAAGGCCCUAGGGUUGUAAAAUCCUUUCGUUGGGGACGAUAAUGACGGUACCCAAAGAAGAAGCGCCGGCUAACUUCGUG
rnacentral:rRNA from 1 species